GGUGAUACAGCUUAUCAUCAUCUCUACGUUCAUCAUCUGGAGCAGUGAUUGUCGCCAGCUGAUGUUCUAUUGAUAAAAUGCCCGUAGCUGCCUGUCUAGUGGCGUCUUCUUCUCCACCCAGAAGCACCCCAACCUGUAAACAACCACCCAGGAGAACAAGGCCUCAGAGUUAAAAUCAACUUUACUCUUGAUAACAUCAUCUUCUAAGCUGUAGUUGCUGGCAGACCAAUUUCCUGUAAUGGACCAGCCACCCAUUUGCUAAAAAGCAAGAAAGAAAAAAUAUCUACUGAAUAUGAUUUCUUAGUAAACGACAUUACCAUUUCAAUUAAUGUAAACGGAUAAACAAUUUGCACGUACUGUACAUCUCUUUAAUAUCAUUGCAGUAAAACUAUUUUAGGGUACUAUUACCUCAAUUAACUGAAGAACUGGUUUGCCACCAAGUUUCUCAAUAGUUUUAUUGACAUCCAUACACGAGCGAUAAAACACCCGCGCCUUCUCUUCUGCCUUGCUUUCUGUCUUUUCAGUUGAUUCUGUAAUUGCACUGCUUUAAAUGUUUUUGUAUUGCAAAGAAUAGUUAUAAAUUUUGCUUUAGCAGGGUCAAAUAUCAGGAUUUUCAAAGGUCAAUUGUUGACAAAUCAAGUGCACACAACAUAAAAAAAAGGCUCCACUUGGGAAACAUAUCACAUAAUAUCUGUGAUCUUUGAUAUAGAUAUUUUAACAUACUGUAAUUCAAGAUUAAAAUAAAUUUAAAAAUAGUGCCCAUACUCUCUAUACCAAUCUCCAACUUGUCUAAUAGCAAAAGCAAGGCAGUACAGUAUCAUAAUCAGUAUGGGCUACACUAUACUCAUUCUCUUCUAGAUUAUAAUGCAUUGCAUACCUCAUUUCCAAAAGGAUAUGGUCACUUUUACCCAAGGAAAGGUACUGAAUGUUAAUAUCUCUUCUUCUUUCUUGAUGAAUAUCAAAUUAUGGAAGGCUUUGAUGUCACUGUAGGGAAGGUAUCUGGCUCUUUUUGCCAGCUCAUGAUCCCACAAUUUGUGGACCUUUCAGGUUGUUUCCCAUGGCCUGUGGUGGAGCUGGUUAGUUCCGCCCUAUUAUUUGGGGUCAGGGCUGUUAGGUGUCCUCCCUGGCACUGGGUUGGGCUAUUGUAGGUUGGUUGGCAUCAGGUAUGGUUAAGGUGGCAAGUUCUCUUGAUGUGUUCCAUAUUUAUUAGCAUUCAAUUUACGAGAAAGGUUUUGAGGGGCAUAGUGAUGAACUGCCAUGGUAACACUGCCUGGUGCAUGCAUUCUCCCAGAGUUGUAACUGCACAAACAAUUAUAAGUGAC